UACAGCGAACUGCGAAUGGCUCAUUAUAUAAGUUAUCGUUUAUUUGAUAGUGCCUUACUACUUGGAUAACCGUGGUAAUUCUAGAGCUAAUACAUGCUAAAACGCCCGACUUCGGAAGGGUUGUAUUUAUUAGAUUAAAAACCAAUGCCCUCUGGGCUCACUGGUGAUUCAUAAUAACUUCGCGAAUCGCAUGGCCUUGUGCCGGCGAUGGCUCAUUCAAAUUUCUUCCCUAUCAACUUUCGAUGUUUGGGUAGUGGCCAAACAUGGUUGCAACGGGUAACGGAGGGUUAGGGCUCGACCCCGGAGAAGGAGCCUGAGAAACGGCUACUACAUCCAAGGAAGGCAGCAGGCGCGCAAAUUACCCAAUCCCGAUUCGGGGAGGUAGUGACAAUAAAUACUGAUACAGGGCUCUUUUGGGUCUUGUAAUUGGAAUGAGUACAAUUUAAAUCCCUUAACGAGGAACAAUUAGAGGGCAAGUCUGGUGCCAGCAGCCGCGGUAAUUCCAGCUCUAAUAGCGUAUAUUAAAGUUGUUGUGGUUAAAAAGCUCGUAGUUGAACCUUGGGCCUGGCUGGCAGGUCCGCCUCACCGCGUGUACUUUGCCGGCCGGGCCUUUCCCUCUGUGGAACCCCAUGCCCUUCACUGGGUGUGGCGGGGAAACAGGACUUUUACUUUGAAAAAAUUAGAGUGCUCCAGGCAGGCCUAUGCUCGAAUACAUUAGCAUGGAAUAAUAAAAUAGGACGUGCGGUUCUAUUUUGUUGGUUUCUAGGACCGCCGUAAUGAUUAAUAGGGACAGUCGGGGGCAUCAGUAUUCAAUUGUCAGAGGUGAAAUUCUUGGAUUUAUUGAAGACUAACUACUGCGAAAGCAUUUGCCAAGGAUGUUUUCAUUAAUCAGGAACGAAAGUUAGGGGAUCGAAGACGAUCAGAUACCGUCGUAGUCUUAACCAUAACUAUGCCGACUAGGGAUCGGACGAUGUUAUUACUUGACUCGUCGGCACCUUACGAGAAAUCAAGUGCUUGGGCUCCAGGGGGAGUAUGGUCGCAGGGCUGAAACUUAGAAAUGAACGAGGGCACCACCCAGGUGGA
rnacentral:rRNA from 1 species